rnacentral:rRNA from 1 species
AUAAGUAGGGGGCGAGCGUUGUUCGGAUUUAUUGGGCGUAAAGGGUGCGUAGGCGGUCUUGUAAGUCAGAUGUGAAAGAUAAUGGCUUAAAUGUGGCAAGCAUUUGAAACUGCAGGGCUUGAGUACAGGAGAGGAGAGUGGAAUUCCUAGUGUAGAGGUGAAAUACGUAGAUAUUAGGCGGAAUACCAGUGGCGAAUGCGACGCUCUGGACUUAUACUGACGCUGAGGCACGAAAGCUUGAGUAUCGAACAGUAUGAGAUACCCUUUAAGUCCACGCUAUAAACGUUCACUGCUAUGUGUCGUGUGUCAAACCGCGCUACCGCAGUUAACUCAUUAAUCACACCGCCUGGAGACUACGGACUCAAGGCGCUAACGCAAAUUACUUGACGGG